UCAAAAUGAUAUAUAAAGAACGAAAUUAAAUAAAUAUUCUUACACAAGAUCUACACUCAGCAAAAAUUCUCAAAAUGAAGAUUGCAUUCGCUCUCUUGUUUUUGGUUGCAAUUGCCAUCGCACUUCCCAUUGAAGAUGAAUCGGAAUCCCAGAUGGCAAAUGAGAACGAAUUCUUGAAUUUGAAACCUGUCGAACAACAUCAUCGCGAACGUAGAGCCACUUGUAGACUUCCAUGGGGUGCCCGUACCGCUUGCAAUGCUCAUUGCAAUGCUAAAAAAAUACAAAAGAGGAUACUGCAAUAGCAACAGAGUUUGCGUUUGCACCAAUAAGUAGAGGAUUGGUCCUGAUUCUAAUAACAUAAUAAUUUUCCUGAGAAGAAAUUAAAUUGGAAUUUUAAUCGACAUGUAUCACGUCUGACUUAUCCAUUUUAGAAUUUUAACGUUACAUAAAAUAUAUGUAUUGUAAAAUUAUUUGUAAUAAAUAUUUGUCCAAUUAAAAUAAGAUUAACGCAA